UACGGAGGGUGCAAGCGUUAUCCGGAUUCACUGGGUUUAAAGGGUGCGUAGGUGGGUUGGCAAGUCAGUGGUGAAAUCCCCGAGCUUAACUUGGGAACUGCCAUUGAUACUAUCAGUCUUGAAUACCGUGGAGGUUAGCGGAAUAUGUCAUGUAGCGGUGAAAUGCAUAGAUAUGACAUAGAACACCAAUUGCGAAGGCAGCUGGCUACACAAAUAUUGACGCUGAUGCACGAAAGCGUGGGGAUCAAACAGG
rnacentral:rRNA from 1 species